AGUGAACGCUGGCGGCGUGCCUAAUACAUGCAAGUCGAACGGAGUGGCGCACGGGUGAGUAAUAUAUAGCUAAUCUGCCCCUUGCUGGAGGACAACAGUUAGAAAUGACUGCUAAUACUCCAUAGCAAGGGAUGAGACUAUAUCGUAUUAGCUAGUCGGUGGGGUAACUCCCUACCGAGGCUAUGACGCGUAACUGUUCUGAGAGGAGUAGCAGUAGCAUUGGAACUGAGACACGGUGCAAACUCCUACGGGAGGGAGCAGUAGGGAAUAUUGCGCAAUGGGGGGAACCCUGACGCAGCAACGCCGCGUGGAGGAUGACACUUUUCGUGGAGUAAACUCCUUUUGUUAGGUAAGCGGUACCUAACGAAUAAGCACCGGCUAACUCCGUGCCAGCGGCCGCGGUAAUAC
rnacentral:rRNA from 1 species